AGAGUUUGAUCCUGGCUCAGAUUGAACGCUGGCGGCAUGCCUUACACAUGCAAGUCGAACGGUAACAGGUUAAGCUGACGAGUGGCGAACGGGUGAGUAAUAUAUCGGAACGUGCCCAGUCGUGGGGGAUAACGCAGCGAAAGCUGUGCUAAUACCGCAUACGAUCUAUGGAUGAAAGCGGGGGAUCGCAAGACCUCGCGCGAUUGGAGCGGCCGAUAUCAGAUUAGCUAGUUGGUGGGGUAAAAGCCCACCAAGGCGACGAUCUGUAGCUGGUCUGAGAGGACGACCAGCCACACUGGAACUGAGACACGGUCCAGACUCCUACGGGAGGCAGCAGUGGGGAAUUUUGGACAAUGGGCGCAAGCCUGAUCCAGCAAUGCCGCGUGCAGGACGAAGGCCUUCGGGUUGUAAACUGCUUUUGUACGGAGCGAAACGGUCUACCCUAAUACGGUGGGCUAAUGACGGUACCGUAAGAAUAAGCACCGGCUAACUACGUGCCAGCAGCCGCGGUAAUACGUAGGGUGCGAGCGUUAAUCGGAAUUACUGGGCGUAAAGCGUGCGCAGGCGGUUAUAUAAGACAGAUGUGAAAUCCCCGGGCUCAACCUGGGACCUGCAUUUGUGACUGUAUAGCUAGAGUACGGUAGAGGGGGAUGGAAUUCCGCGUGUAGCAGUGAAAUGCGUAGAUAUGCGGAGGAACACCGAUGGCGAAGGCAAUCCCCUGGACCUGUACUGACGCUCAUGCACGAAAGCGUCGGGAGCAAACAGGAUUAGAUACCCUGGUAGUCCACGCCCUAAACGAUGUCAACUGGUUGUUGGGUCUUCACUGACUCAGUAACGAAGCUAACGCGUGAAGUUGACCGCCUGGGGAGUACGGCCGCAAGGUUGAAACUCAAAGGAAUUGACGGGGACCCGCACAAGCGGUGGAUGAUGUGGUUUAAUUCGAUGCAACGCGAAAAACCUUACCCACCUUUGACAUGUACGGAACUCGCCAGAGAUGGCUUGGUGCUCGAAAGAGAGCCGUAACACAGGUGCUGCAUGGCUGUCGUCAGCUCGUGUCGUGAGAUGUUGGGUUAAGUCCCGCAACGAGCGCAACCCUUGUCAUUAGUUGCUACAUUUAGUUGGGCACUCUAAUGAGACUGCCGGUGACAAACCGGAGGAAGGUGGGGAUGACGUCAAGUCCUCAUGGCCCUUAUAGGUGGGGCUACACACGUCAUACAAUGGCUGGUACAAAGGGUUGCCAACCCGCGAGGGGGAGCUAAUCCCACAAAGCCAGUCGUAGUCCGGAUCGUAGUCUGCAACUCGACUACGUGAAGUCGGAAUCGCUAGUAAUCGUGGAUCAGAAUGUCACGGUGAAUACGUUCCCGGGUCUUGUACACACCGCCCGUCACACCAUGGGAGCGGGUUCUGCCAGAAGUAGUUAGCCUAACCGCAAGGAGGGCGAUUACCACGGCAGGGUUCGUGACUGGGGUGAAGUC
rnacentral:rRNA from 1 species